rnacentral:tRNA from 1 species
GGAUGGUUAGCUCAGUUGGUAGAGCACAUCGUUCACAUCGAUGGGGUCGUUGGUUCGAGUCCAAUACCAUCCACCA